CAAUUACAACAUCAAGAUCAACUGACAUCAGCACUGCUACGCCAGCUUCAGUCCGGACUAAAACUGAGAACAAUGUUAAUGGAACAAUCAGACAAACCGUCGACUCAACACCGUUUAUCACAAGCGAUAAAACAUCCAUAGAAAUAUCGACAGAAGAUAUUAUCGCUACGUCUAAUGAGCAUGUACAAUCAAACACAAAAGGCUUUCCUAUUUGGAUAAUCUUUCUAAUUCUUGGAAUACUACUGAUAGUUGCGAUCAUCGUAUACAUCGUGUACCGAAAGAAAAAGAAGGCCAAUCAAGUUAAUCCAGAUCCAGAACAAGCGCACGAGAACAAUGAAAAACAUUGGAACGAAGAAAGCCCUAAAGCAUCAGGGGUUGCAUCGUUUAUUCCCUCAACAUCGGGCUUUUGGAACAGCAGCAAAACACAGGUUGAAAGUAACACACCAGCGAGAAAUAAGUUCAAGGCCGACACAGCCAGAAAUGUUGGCAAUAAUGACGGACUGCUAUCGUCUGAAAGUAGUCGGAAGAGAAAGAAAAGA